AUAUACAGUACAGGGCGAAAAAAGAUAAGUAGCUACUCUACUGUUGCGUAGGUACAGUUUAGAGAGAAAAAAAGCUAAGUAGCGCAGAGUAGUUCCUACGAACUGCACUUUUCUUCCUACACAGCUCAUGCGAAUCAAAACGGUAGUAGUAACGAGCAGCUUUGCUUUCUUUACUCCUGUGCUACUCUACUCUACUGAUGUGCUGCGCAUGCGCAUUAAUUUUCACCAGCCCGGUUACGACUCAGUGGAAACGAGUAGAAAUGAGUCUUAGAAAGCUGAUAAAAGACACCCAGAAGAAGACAAAUCGUAACUUCUUACUUUUUGAAAUACUUUAAGCAAGACGAUACUUAUUCUAUUGUGAAAGCAAACUGUGUAGAAGUUGAGCAGCUGGAAGCUGGUACCUCCUGCAGAGUAAGGGAUGGAAAGGACUUUCAUGAUGGCACAAUAGUCACCUUUGGAGAUAAGAAAGAUGUAAGUAAUGCAGCAGGUGAUAUUAUUGAGAAGAUUGAGAAAGAGUCAGCGGAGAAUUUGGAGAAAGAGUCAGCCAAGAAUAUGGGGAAACAGUCAGCUGAGAGUAUGAAGAAUGAGUCAGACUACAAAGCGUGCCACAAUAAAAAGGAAAGCUAAGAAAAGUACCACCGAAUAAAGAAACCUAAAAUAGAAAAAGGAAAGGAAGGUGAAGAAAUGCACAGUUAAUAUUGUUGCUGUUGGUUGUGCUACAAAUAAUGAAUCUGCUGCAAAUAAUGAAGCAACAAGCUUCAACACUGGAGAUCCUUCUAAGCAUAUUAGUAUCGAAGCAAGAAAACCUUCAGAGAGAAAAGAGGCAGAUU